rnacentral:rRNA from 1 species
UACAGGGGGGGCAAGCGUUGUUCGGAAUUACUGGGCGUAAAGGGCUCGUAGGCGGCCAACUAAGUCACACGUGAAAUCCCCAGGCUUAACCUGGGAACUGCGUGUGAUACUGGAUGGCUUGAAUCCGGGAGAGGGAUGCAGAAUUCCAGGUGUAGCGGUGAAAUGCGUAGAUAUCUGGAGGAAUACCGGUGGCGAAGGCGGCAUCCUGGACCGGCAUUGACGCUGAUGAGCGAAAGCUAGGGGAGCAAACGGG